rnacentral:rRNA from 1 species
AUGGCGACCGGCGCACGGGUGAGUAACACGUAUCCAACCUGCCGAUGACUCGGGGAUAGCCUUUCGAAAGAAAGAUUAAUACCCGAUGGCAUAGUUCUUCCGCAUGGUAAAACUAUUAAAGAAUUUCGGUCAUCGAUGGGGAUGCGUUCCAUUAGGUUGUUGGCGGGGUAACGGCCCACCAAGCCUUCGAUGGAUAGGGGUUCUGAGAGGAAGGUCCCCCACAUUGGAACUGAGACACGGUCCAA